UUCGCCAAUCAGGACCAGGCAAAAACAGCUUUCGUCCACUUCAUCGAAUCCCGAGUAGGCAAUUUUUAUGCUGACGGAGUAAAUUAACUUGUGUUUCUUUGGCAAAAGUGCACUGAUUCAAAUGGCGCUAAUUGUAAUUAAACUGAAUGAGUAUUCACUGAUAUUAUAGUUCAAACUAUACUCAUGAAAACGGCCAAAACUUCUGAAACAACCUAAUGAUAUACCGGGCAUCACACAUCUCAUAGUCAUAAACAUAAUCAUUAAGACACGUCUCUGAUAAACAUAUGACAUCGAAAUUGUUUGCUAGAGAAAUUUCAUAGAACUCCUUGGUUUGGUUUUCAGUACUCUUUCUGAUGAAAAAUCAAAAUGUGCUUCACUUUUGUUGUUGUAAGUAGUGUUGUUAGGAAUAUUAUUGAUUUUAUUUAUGCGCAUGUUAUAAGUAAGUAUUUUUACUUCAAAAAUCCAGCAAAAUAAUGAAGCCUAAUAUUAUUAGAAAUAAUGUAAUUUAGUCAAAGUAGUAUUUGUAUGAUGGUAGUUAUGAAUGUCGUCACGUUACAAGGUCGUUCAAGCCUUCUCGUAAUCCCGCUGAAAGAUUACAUUUUUAUUCCGAGGAAAGAAAAAACCACGUGCCUCGUAAUUCUACAGAAUCACACGUUAAAAGGUAAGACCUCGUUAGUCCUCAGCUCGCACAAGUUUCUCAAAUUCUGAGAGUUGUCGUUCGUAUGGGGGCGACAGCUGAUUAACGGAAAAACAGAUUUUGAACAGAUCGUGUUGUCAUGGAAAAGCUUAACAACAACAAUAUUAUAAACGUAAGUUUUUUGUGUUCGCGAGUUCGCUUUAACAACGACCACGGAUGAAAUUGAGGAAACAAAAUUAAAUUUCUUUAAAAAUAUUUGGGAAAUCAUAUGCAGCGAGUGUUGAUUCACUGCCGAAAAUAACUCAAGAGCGAUAUCAAAAAGAAUAUGAACAUUUUGAAGAGUGGCGUAAAAGCAAGAAUGUAAAGGUGGUUAAUGAAGAUGUAUCAUUAGUCUAUACGAAAGGAAAAUCAGCGUUUUAUUCUCCUAACUCUCUGUGGAACAAGAUUUCAAAGUUGAACGUUGCUUUGAACGUUUAUGACAACAUUGACAUUUCAAGUUUAUUUUUUUAAAUCGUACACCAUAUUUAAAGUAUUACCUACAGAAACGGUAUUUCCAGAUUUGGAAAAUUAUUUUUGUUCUUGAGACGAAUGUUUGAUGGAUACACACCAAAGAAAGCAAAAAUUUUGUCUGAAGAAGUUGGAGGCAGAUGAUCAUACAUGGUUGCUAGAAAAGGUUGUAUUAAGGUGUGGUAUCUUUGGCGCCUGUAAACGUGAUUAACUUGUUAAGCUGACUGUGGAUGAUUUUGAAAACCAGUACAAGAGUUUUGGUUACAUUGAGGAAUGGUGUUAAACAAGUUGUGGACUAUUGGAUCUGUUUCAAAGAAAAUUGCAGCAUUCUUAAAACUGGAAAAUCCGCAGUUCUACACAGGGCACUCGUUUCGCAGAUCCUCGGCUUCUAAGCUUGUAGAAAAUGGUGACGAUCUACUAUCGGUAAGAGAACUUGGAGGUUGGAACUCUUCUGCGGUGGCGGAGUCGUAUAUUGAAAAUUCAGUUUCAAAGAGAAUGAAUAUAACGAGACAACUAUUUGAUGGUAAUGAGGUCACACCGACAAGUUCAAAUACUGGUGCCAUAGAUGAUAAAUCUCUCAUCGAUGGAAUAGAAGUUUUUUAACGGCCGCCGGCCGUUUCAUCGAUUUCACAAGUUGAAUACACUACAUAUGCCUAGUUUAGAAAAAAAAGAGCCCAGGUGAAAUAAAACAUCCUCCAUUUUUUUAUCAUUUCGAGACCAUUUCUGGUUGCCAAAAAUAUGUUAUUGAAAAAUUGGUUUUGUCUUUUUUUGACAACUCUUCAACUAACUACCAAGAGGCUUGUUUUGGAUAUGUACAUUAUUUUUAAUAACAAUUCUCAACGGAGUA
rnacentral:lncRNA from 1 species